CCUACGGGCGGCUGCAGUGGGGAAUAUUGGACAAUGGGCGCAAGCCUGAUCCAGCCAUGCCGCGUGUGUGAAGAAGGCCUUCGGGUUGUAAAGCACUUUUGUUGGGAAAGAAAUCCUGUCGGUUAAUACCCGGCGGGGCUGACGGUACCCAAAGAAUAAGCACCGGCUAACUUCGUGCCAGCAGCCGCGGUAAUACGAAGGGUGCAAGCGUUACUCGGAAUUACUGGGCGUAAAGCGUGCGUAGGUGGUUUGUUAAGUCAGAUGUGAAAGCCCCG
rnacentral:rRNA from 1 species